CCUACGGGUGGCUGCAGUGAGGAAUAUUGGUCAAUGGCCGGAAGGCUGAACCAGCCAAGCCGCGUGAGGGAGGAAGGCGCAGAGCGUCGCAGACCUCUUUUGCCGGGGGACAAAAGGCCGGACUCGUCCGGUCCUGAGGGUACCCGGAGAAAAAGCAUCGGCUAACUCCGUGCCAGCAGCCGCGGUAAUACGGAGGAUGCGAGCGUUAUCCGGAUUUAUUGGGUUUAAAGGGUGCGUAGGCGGAUUUUUAAGUCAGCGGUAAAAUGUCCGGGCGCAACCCGGGCCGGCCGUUGACACUGGGGAUCUUGAGUGGGCGAGAAGUAUGCGGAAUGCGUGGUGUAGCGGUGAAAUGCAUAGAUAUCACGCAGAACUCCGAUUGCGAAGGCAGCAUACCGGCGCCCGACUGACGCUGAGGCACGAAAGCGUGGGGAUCGAACAGGAUUAGAUACCCGAGUAGUC
rnacentral:rRNA from 1 species